AAAUUGAAGAGUUUGAUCAUGGCUCAGAUUGAACGCUGGCGGCAGGCCUAACACAUGCAAGUCGAACGGUAACAGGAAGCAGCUUGCUGCUUUGCUGACGAGUGGCGGACGGGUGAGUAAUGUCUGGGAAACUGCCCGAUGGAGGGGGAUAACUACUGGAAACGGUAGCUAAUACCGCAUAACGUCGCAAGACCAAAGAGGGGGACCUUAGGGCCUCUUGCCAUCGGAUGUGCCCAGAUGGGAUUAGCUAGUAGG
rnacentral:rRNA from 1 species